UAAGGGAUAUUGCGCAAUGGGCGACAGCCUGACGCAGCAACGCCGCGUGGAGGAAGAAGGCUUUCGGGUCGUAAACUCCUUUUGUGAGGGACGAGGAAGGACGGUACCUCAUGAAUAAGUCACGGCUAACUACGUGCCAGCAGCCGCGGUAAAACGUAGGUGGCGAGCGUUAUCCGGAUUUACUGGGCGUAAAGCGUGUGCAGAUGGGUCACCAAGUGGUGUAUGAAAUCGCCCGGCUUAACCGGGCGGGGUUAUGCCAGACUGGUGGUCUAGAGAACGGGAGAGGGACGUGGAAUUCCGGGUGUAGUGGUGAAAUGCGUAGAGAUCCGGAGGAACCCCUGAGGCGAAGGCGGCGUCCUGGCCCGGUUCUGACAUUCAGACACGACAGCAUGGGGAGCGAACGGGAUUAGAUACCCGCGUAGUCC
rnacentral:rRNA from 1 species